UACAGAGGUGGCAAGCGUUGUUCGGAAUUACUGGGCGUAAAGGGCGCGUAGGCGGCUUGGUCAGUCCCGUGUGAAAUCCCUCGGCUCAACUGAGGAACUGCACGGGAAACUGCCUGGCUUGAGUUCGGGAGAGGGAAGCGGAAUUCCGGGUGUAGCGGUGAAAUGCGUAGAUAUCCGGAGGAACACCGGUGGCGAAAGCGGCUUCCUGGACCGACACUGACGCUGAGGCGCGAAAGCUAGGGGAGCAAACGGG
rnacentral:rRNA from 1 species